rnacentral:tRNA from 1 species
GCUCCGAUGACCGAGUUUUAGGUGACAGAUUUUUAAUCUUUUUACAGGAUCAUCCUUCGGGGUA